AUUGAACGCUGGCGGCAGGCCUAACACAUGCAAGUCGAACGAGUGGCGGACGGGUGAGUAAUGUCUGGGAAACUGCCUGAUGGAGGGGGAUAAAUACUGGAAACGGUAGCUAAUACCGCAUACCAUCAGAUGUGCCCAGAUGGGAUUAGCUAGUCGGUGGGGUAACGGCUCACCUAGGCGACGAUCCCUAGCUGGUCUGAGAGGAUGAGCAGCCACACUGGAACUGAGACACGGUCCAAACUCCUACGGGAGGCAGCAGUGGGGAAUAUUGCGCAAUGGGCGCAAGCCUGAUGCAGCCAUGCCGCGUGUGUGAAGGAGGCUUUCGGUUUGUAAAGCACUUUCGGCGGGGAGGCGUUACCCGCAGAAGAAGCACCGGCUAACUCCGUGCCAGCAGCCGCGGUAAUAC
rnacentral:rRNA from 1 species